GUGGCUGGGGCUCAGAGGUAGAGCACUCACCUAUCACGUGUGAGGCACUGGGUUCGAUCCUCAGCACUACA
rnacentral:tRNA from 1 species